rnacentral:rRNA from 1 species
AGUCACUGACAUUAGAUACCCGCGUAGUCCAGGGUGUAAACGCUGCAGACUUGGUGUUGGAAGCCCUUUGGGGGCAUUCAGUGCCGGAGAGAAGUUGUUAAGUCUGCUACUUGGGGAGUACGUCCGCAAGGAUGAAACUUAAAGGAAUUGGCGGGGGAGCACCGCAACGGGAGGAGCGUGCGGUUUAAUUGGAUUCAACACCGUAAACUCACCAGGGAAGACUGUUACAUGAAGGCCGAGAUGAAGACUCUGCUAGAUUUUCAG